rnacentral:lncRNA from 1 species
GUGCCAGCGCUCCUCUCCCAGCGCUCACCGGUCCUUCCAGCAGUCCUCAGGUUGCACGCGACCGGCAGUGAGCUUCCACUGGGUAGGGGUGGGAAGCCGGUGGCUCCGGGCAGCGGUGAUAACCCAGCAAGGAAGCAGAGUCGCAUUUCGGAGCGUCCACUCGUAACGCGGCCUCUCGCACACGGAGCUCGUAGUCCAGGGGAGAGGAGGCCAGGGCGGCCCUGGAGAGGUUGUAGGUGCAGCGGAUCGGCCGUAGAGACCCCGUCGGACUCAGGAAGGCACUGUCAGCCGCUCGGAGCGGAACCCCUUUCCCAGACAGUAGAGUCACCCCUCCCCCUCCGGGGACCGUUACUGGUCGCCUCCUGAAGGAUCAAUCUGGGAUUGUCCGCUAAAGUGGCCUUAGGCACCGUUAGUCUAGGGCUCGCUGGCUUGUGGCCUCAGAAGUACCACAACAGGACUACUUAAUCCUUAGAGGAUGUACAGCCAAACAAGGUGACUAGCCAUCGGCCAGGAGAGCUUAUUAAAAGAUUUCAUUUCUUGGGCAUCCAGCUCUGUGUCCUGGGGCCUUUGCAAACCAACCCAGCACUACAGAAAAACAAGUCCAGUAAUGGAAUGCUUUAAAAGCUGGAUACAAUGUCUCAUACCUGCGCUUGGGAAGCUGAAGCAGGAGGACUGCUGAAAGUCUGAGACCAGCCUGGGCUACAAGUGAGACUGUCUCAAAAAACAACCCCCCCCCCCAAAA